CGAUAUCGCUUGUUGAUAUUGAAUUCAAAACAUCGAUUUAACGCAAUCGUGUUUCGUACACAGAACGGAACGGACGUGUCGCUCUUCGCUCCUCGCAAGAAUAUUUUACUAUUUAAAUCAAGUCAAUAUCGUCGAUCACCCUGGAGAAUAUAAAAAGAGAAUGAUGAUAUCGAGAUGUCUAAAUACACGUAAUUUGAAUACGAGAAGAAGAUAAUUAAAGAAUAAAUGAAUUGGGAUAAGAAAUUGCAUCGAUAUAAUUUCUGAAGCGUAGCUAAUAAAAAUUAUUUAAAACACUCUUGAAAAUCAUCGUUGAUGAUGAAAAUUAAAAAUCGAUUAAGAGGGAGAGAAACAAAGGACAUCCGAAUUACCAAGGAAAUUGAUACAAUCGUUACAGAAUCCGGGGGUUGAGAAAGUUUCCAAAAACUUUUUGUUUUCCACGGACAAAGACGUUCCAGGGAGCCGGGUCCACCCCUUGUCAGCAAUCUCAGGGAUGUUUCGAAGCGAGGAGACAGCGUUCCUCUACUCAUCCACCGAAAUAAAUGUUUAAAUUCACGCGAAGUUAAUUAAAACUAAGCGUAAUUAUAGCGGCGCUCCUGUAUAAACCAAGAGGACCGAGAGGGAAGGGGUGGGAGCGAGGAAAAUUACCUUUCCUCCGGAGAUGAGAAGCUAUUUUGUGCCGUUGGAUAUCGUGUCCUUGCGAAAGGCUGUAUUGUAAUAACGAGAGAGAAAGAGAAAAAGAGAGGCCUGGUAUAAGGGAGGAAAAAAGGAUUCUGAAAGCAAAGGUUGUUCGUUCUUGAAAAAUUCAACGUCAUUUCGUCGUUCCCUCCCUCCUUCUAUCGAGGAUUGUUUUAUGGAAGCAACGGAUGGAAGAGACUUGGUAAAUUUAGAUUAAUCCGCGGUUUCCCCCGCAAUGAUUCUCGUGUUUCCUAAAAUUUUUCUCUCUCUCAAUAUUCUUAUUCUUCGCUCGAAUAAUUAUUAAAUUUUAACGGAGCGCGGCAUUGUUGGAUGGCGACGUUAAAUUAUUUACUUUUGAAAUUUUAAAACGACGAGUUCGAAUGUUAGGUAUCGUGGAUAAUUUAUAUUUGGAUUAAAUUCUACAAUUGAGUUGGAAAUCUUUGAGAAGAAGAAAGAAAACUAUGAAUUUGAUUCGAAUCAUUGAUUUCGGGAAUAAAAAGAAAAUCACGUUUUCGGAGAAUUAUCGAAGCGAAUGAAAAAAUCGCGUGAAUAAUUCGUAAACCGAUUUAAAUGAAUUUAAAAGAAGUGUAGAAAGAUAGAUUUAAACCUAUUCUUAAUUCGUUCGUUAUGACAGCAAUGAAGCAUAACGCGGCAUAUUUUCAAAUGACGUGGCAUAUUUUCCGAGAGAAACGGCGCAGAUUUAUAUUUAAUUUUUGCAACGAUACAACUUCAGGGUUAUCCGGAGAUAGAAUCGAGUCUUGAAAUCGUUCCGGUUCGAUGGAGUCUAUCUUUUUUUCAUCUUGAAGAAUUUCGACGGAAUUCGAUUUUAAGAAACAUGCAAAUUGCAAGUUCAAAAUUUACGAUUAAAUUAUUUUCUAAAAUCUCUAAACCAAAUUUCUAAAUUUAAUAAAUAUCGUGCAAUUGAUUAGCUCGUCUCGUCGGAUUCAAUUCAUUUACAUCAAAUUCAAAUGCUAAUAGGAUUUUCAUUUUAAUUGCCUGCUCGUUCAAGUCCCUUCCUCCGAUACUCCAACAUCUCCAUUUCCCAACAAAAUUUCUUUCUUCCCCUUUCUUCUUUUUAUACCAGCCGGACGCCGUGUUUCGCUUCCUCGGAUAAAAACUGAGCAACCACCACCGUCCUCCUCGAGGGCCGGAGAAUCGUCAAAGAAUUUUUUCUUUUCUCUCCCGUCUCCCUCCUGGGGGCACGGUUAAACAGGCGAAAAGAAAUACGAACGAACGUUGUAAGAAAAUCAUACAAUCGCCUUAAUGGCGACCUGCUAGGGGGAGAGAGAGACUGAUGGCCGUAGGCGCAUAAUGGUGUUGAUUACUAAUUACAAUUAUUGGGCAGCGAGGGGAUACGAUCGAUCCUCCCCCUAUCCAGCUUCAAACACCUUCCCCCUCGCCACCACCAGAAGCGUGUUCGAGAUCGCGGCCAGCUAAUUGCAUUAUACGUGUCAAUAUCCUGGAGUAGUUCUCCUUCCAAUGGGGUUGGCAACUUCGAGGGAGGAUCGAAGAGAAGGGGAUUAUUGGAAAUUCGAGGAACCGAAACGCGUUCGUGGCUGGAUUAAUAUUAAAACGAAUAAAAUUCCGUUCAACACCGUGCAAAAAUUCGGCUUAUGCUCGUUAAAAAAAAAAAAAAAAGAAGAAGAGGAAGAAGAGAAAAAGAAAGAAAGAAAGAAUCGAAUUCGCCGGGACGAACGAACUCGUCUCCUCGCUAAGGAUGUAUCCCUGUUUUUGGGGUGAGAGUCGGCUUUUCACCGGGGAUUGCCAGAUUUAUGACGGGCUGCCCUCCGCGCCGGCUUAUUUUUAACCUUUCGCCCACUAACGAACCUUAUCUCUCGGGCUGCAUUUCUCCGCGCAACACGAUAGACAAAAGAAAAACGUCCGGUUCCAUGGGCCCCAUAACUUAACGAUCUGCCCGAUUCUCGUACUCGGCCGACCAUUAUGUCCGCUCGAAAUUUUUACAUUUUCUACCGCAGCGAGUUGGCCAGAGCAAAAAAAAAAAAAAAAAGGAAGAGAAGAACAAAAAAAGGCCCAAUAAACACGGGGACGCGAUAAAAUUGUUAUGCAUCCCGAUUAAUUUUCGGGGACAUUUUUGGCCCCCCCUCUUCCUCCUCCUCCUCCUCCUGGCGUCCCGCCAUCCCGCCAACCGAUUACCGAAGAUAAUCGCGACCUUGGCCACUCUCUCCGAGGAGGAAUAAUUAAUUGAACUCGAUCGAGAGUUUUCGGGUGAGUGUGUUCUUUGCCCGUGAACGUUUACGCAGAAGAGAUUACGCGAUGAAUUAGUGGUACACUUAGAAAAGGUUGUAUCGGUCGAACGUUGGGUUUCGGUUAAUACAAGGAUAAGAUUUUAUAAUUUAGAUUUGCACGGUCAACGUUCAAAAAAGAAAGGAAAGUUUUGUUUAUUAUUGAAAGCGUGAAUUUAUUCGAUGAUCGAUAAAUUCGUACGAAAUUUAAAGAGAAACUUCACGCAUCCCUGUACACUUCGUUCAUCGAAAAUUUUAUAAUGUUUGAUAUUCACGAUAUUUCGAAAAAAGAAAAAAGAAGAUUCGUCUUCAUUUCUCGACGAAAAGAAAUAAAUAAAGAGCCGGAAGAUGAUUCUUAAAAACGCAGGCUGUUUUCCCGUCCUUCUUCCCGUCUCAUUAUUGUUAAAAAGGAAGUUUUUCCGCGCACGAUAAAAACUGUUGACUGGUUUAACCGGUCAAAAUAUUCAAUGUAAAUCCAUUCAAUUCCUUGAAUCCUGAUGUUGUUCCCGGGGAAAAUAUCAAGGAAUGCCUGUUCCUUUCCCGCGAAAGCGGUAAUUUAAAAAAAUCGAGGGAUUCUGGGAGCAACGAGAGAAGCAACAAGAGACCCCCGGUGUAUGGUGAAUAGGCCCCGGUACACCGUCCGGGAUAAAAAUCGACGAGCAGGAACGAGUGUAAAUGAAUGAAAAAGUGGAGCAGAAAUAUGUCUGUGAAACUGUGGACUGGGAAUGGAGAGAAGAGAGAGAGAAAGAGAGAGAGAGAGAUAGGAAUGUAUAACUGAAAUGGAGCGAAAGGGGGCGGUAAUUGUGAGAGGGAAACGCAGAAGCAGCAGGAUGCAGAUGCAUUGAAAAAGUAACGUGAGAAGCGAACGAUGAUACGGAGGAAAUGAUGGAAAUAUAAGGAUCAAAAGCCGGAGAAAUAGAAAUAAAAGGAAAGGAAGAAAAGGAAAAAGAAAAGAAAGAGGAAAAAAAGAAAAAAAAGAUAAAAAAAAAGAGUGAAUCACGGACGUGGCUACAUACUGGAAGAACACUGAAACAAAUGGAAGGAACGAGAGAAAUGCAUAUAUAAAAUGUAAAAGCCUGCUUUUCAAAAUUCCUGACUCGCCACUUGGAGGUACCUUCGUUUCAAGUUUGAAAAUUAUUCCAUGUUAGAUAUGCCCCGCUUGAAUACGUACAUCUGCCUCGGCAUAAAACGUAUAAAUUGUUCCGCAAUGGAAAAAAAAAAAAAAAAAGAAACGAAAUAAACCGAAGAGAAAGAGGCUGAACGUUACACGAAACGUUACGUAUUAAGUUGAAUGAUAUACCUGGACUCGAAUAAUAAAAUAAAAGUUAAGGGAAGAUGAUA